rnacentral:rRNA from 1 species
GAUGAACGCUGGCGGCGUGCCUAAUACAUGCAAGUCGAGCGAAGCGGGGACGGGUGAGUAACACGUGGAUAACCUCCUAUAAGACUGGGAUAACUUCGGGAAACCGGAGCUAAACCGGCUACUUAUAGAUGGUUCCGCGCUGCAUUAGCUAGUUGGUAAGGUAACGGCUGACAAAGGCAACGAUGCAUAGCCGAACUGGGAGGGGGUGCGGCAACACGGGAAAUGGGGUCCGGUCCAAAUGCCUAGGGGAGGAAGCAGGAGGGAAUCUUCCGCAAUGGGCGAAAGCAUGAGGGAGCAGCGCAGCGGGAGUGAUGAAGGUCUUCGGGUCGAAAAACUCUGUUAUUAGGGAAGCGGUACCUAAUCAGAAGGCCACGGCUAACUACGUGCCAGCAGCCGCGGUAAUA